GGGUGAGUAACACGUGAGCAACCUGCCUAUCAGAGGGGGAUAACGAUUGGAAACGAUCGCUAAUACCGCAUGACAUAGCGGAAUCGCAUGGUUCUGUUAUCAAAGAUUUUAUCGCUGAUAGAUGGGCUCGCGUCCGAUUAGAUAGUUGGUGGGGUAACGGCCUACCAAGUCGACGAUCGGUAGCCGGACUGAGAGGUCGAACGGCCACAUUGGGACUGAGACACGGCCCAGACUCCUACGGGAGGCAGCAGUGGGGGAUAUUGCACAAUGGGGGAAACCCUGAUGCAGCGACGCCGCGUGAGGGAAGACGGUCCUCUGGAUUGUAAACCUCUGUCUUCGGGGACGAAACGAGACGGUACCCGAGGAGGAAGCCACGGCUAACUACGUGCCAGCAGCCGCGGUAAUACGUAGGUGGCAAGCGUUGUCCGGAAUUACUGGGUGUAAAGGGAGCGUAGGCGGGCAGGCAGGUCAGGCGUGAAAUAUAUCGGCUCAACCGGUAACGGCGCUUGAAACUGCAGGUCUUGAGUGAAGUAGAGGUUGGCGGAAUUCCUAGUGUAGCGGUGAAAUGCGUAGAUAUUAGGAGGAACACCAGUGGCGAAGGCGGCCAACUGGGCUUUUACUGACGCUGAGGCUCGAAAGUGUGGGGAGCAAACAGGAUUAGAUACCCUGGUAGUCCACACCGUAAACGAUGAUUACUAGGUGUGGGGGGACU
rnacentral:rRNA from 1 species